rnacentral:tRNA from 13 species
GCACCCAUAGCUCAAUUGGAUAGAGUACUUGACUACGAAUCAAGCGGUUGCAGGUUCGACUCCUGCUGGGUGUA